GGUAAAAUGGCUGACAAAAGCUGGGAACUGUAAAUUCUUGUAUAAACAAAAUGUUUUUUUAUCA
rnacentral:tRNA from 1 species